rnacentral:rRNA from 1 species
UACGUAGGGGGCAAGCGUUGUCCGGAAUUAUUGGGCGUAAAGAGCGCGUAGGCGGUCCGAUAAGUCGGCUGUGAAAACUCGGGGCUUAACCCCGAGCCUGCAGUGGAUACGGGCAGACUAGAGGUAGGUAGGGGAGAAUGGAAUUCCCGGUGUAGCGGUGAAAUGCGCAGAUAUCAGGAAGAACACCCGUGGCGAAGGCGGCUCUCUGGGACGGUACUGACGCUGAGACGCGAAAGCGUGGGGAGCGAACAGG